AUACUUACCUGGACGGGUCGGGUCAAUGGGCCAUUAAGAAGAUCCAUGGCCUAGGCUGGUAACUUCCAUUACACUAUGGAAGGGUGCUUGCCUAAGAUCUACUCAAGUGGUGGAGCCUAUGUCAUAAUUUGUAGUAGUGGGACUUGCGUUCGCGCGGUCCCUG